UACGUACUGUGCGAACGUUAUUCGGAAUCACUGGGCUUAAAGGGUGCGUAGGCGGCCGACUCAGUAGGGUGUGAAAGGCCUCGGCUCAACCGGGGCAUGGCGCUCUAAACUGGUCGGCUCGAGUGAGAUAGGGGUGUGCGGAACUUCCAGUGGAGCGGUGAAAUGUGUUGAUAUUGGAAGGAACGCCGGUGGCGAAAGCGGCACACUGGGUCUCAACUGACGCUGAGGCACGAAAGCCAGGGUAGCGAACGGG
rnacentral:misc_RNA from 1 species